rnacentral:rRNA from 1 species
UAAGGAAUAUUGGACAAUGGACGCAAGUCUGAUCCAGCCAUGCCGCGUGAAGGAUGAAUGCCCUCUGGGUUGUAAACUUCUUUUAUAGGGGAAGAAAGAUACUUUUUUUAAGGUAGUUGACGGUACCCUAUGAAUAAGCACCGGCUAACUCCGUGCCAGCAGCCGCGGUAAUACGGAGGGUGCAAGCGUUAUCCGGAUUUACUGGGUUUAAAGGGUGCGUAGGCGGGCAUGUAAGUCAGUGGUGAAAUACCGGAGCUUAACUUCGGAACUGCCAUUGAUACUAUAUGUCUUGAAUAUUGUGGAGGUAAGCGGAAUAUGUCAUGUAGCGGUGAAAUGCAUAGAUAUGACAUAGAACACCAAUUGCGAAGGCAGCUUACUACAUAUAAAUUGACGCUGAGGCACGAAAGCGUGGGGAUCAAA